CUGGGCCCUGCCAUUUUCCAACACAUCCCAGGUGAUUCUCAGGCUCAGCUGGGUUUGGGAAAUACUGGACUAGAUCCCCACCUCUGGUUCUGGGAUCCUCUUGCAAGUGUCAGGGGCUCAUCAGUUCAAAACCUAACUUGUGCAUGAAAAUAGCACAGAAGGAGUUUAGCACUUUAUUGAGGAUGUGAUGGCACAUUUGUGAUAAUUAUUUAUUCCUCACAAUGUUCUCUAGGUUGCCAUAGUUACCACACCCAUUUUCAUAGUUAAAGUAAUUGAGGUCAGAAACUUUUUUUUAAUAUCCUUUUUUUAAGUUGUAGAUGAACACAAUAACUUUAUUUACUUAUUUAUAUGUGGUGCUUAGGAUAGAACCCAGCACCUCACACAUGCCAGACGAAUGUGCUACCACUGAGCCACAACCUGAGGUCAGAAACUUUUGAGAUUCUUUUAGCAAUAUAUGCUGAGCACCUACUGUGCAUCCUACACUGUUGUGGGUGCUGGGAACACAGAGAAACAAAACAGACCUGAGCCCCUGCUCUUAAGGAGAUGGAUCAUUAGGGCUACUUAAGUCCCUGUGCUUUUAACACCUGGUCAUUACUCCUAGAAUACCCUUUCACUCUCACAAUGUCCCAAUUUGGAUGAUAAAGUUAUAUUCCACAGAUGAACAAAAUAGAUGGUGAUGAAGACAAUAAAACAACAAUCCUGUCUACUAAAAUAUGCCAUGAUUCAUAGGUCUAUAUUUCUGACCGUUUUAGGCAUCAAAACACUGUGGUUGACUUGUGUGGAAUGGAUGCUUAGGUUGGACAAAGAACACCUCUCUGAGGAGGUGACAUAGAAUCCAGAUGUAAACAGCAAGGACUUGCUGGCCAUGUAGAGACCUGGGGGUGGUGGUCCAGGCAAUGGGAACAGCAAAUAUAAAGGUCCCAGGCAGGAGGAGGUCAGUCCUGCCUAACAUCUCACAACGAACAGGCUCCUCUAAUAUAUAUUCAGCCCAAAAUAUCUUCAAAAGAUCAUUCUGCAUUGUUAAUGUGGUUGUAAAAUUGUGCAGCCACUUUGAAAAACAGAAUAAGGUUUCUCAAAAAAAAUUCAGAAAGAUUUUCAUAUGAUCCAGCACAAUCGCACUUCUGGGUACACAUUUCUGGGUGUACAUAUAAUUGAAAACAAGUUCUCAAAUAUUUGCACAUCCAUGUUCGUAGCAUCAUUCUUCACAAUAGCCUAGAGGUAAAAGCAGCCUGAAUGUUAAUCAACAGAUGAAACAAAUAUGUAUACACAUAAAAUGGAAUAUUAUUCAGCCUUAAAUAGGAUGGGAGGGGCUGAGGAUGUGGCUCAAGUGGUAGCAUGCUCACCUGGCAUGCAUGCGGCCUGAAUUCAAUCCUCAGCACCACAUACAAACAAAGAUGUUGUGUCCGCCGAAAACUAAAAAAUAA
rnacentral:lncRNA from 1 species